GCGAUUUUGGGAUAAUAAUCGCCUAAAACGCAAACUGUUUUGGAAGAUCAUGGAAUUUUGUGACAAAACGUGAAAGAAAUAAGUUGUUAUUUUGGCAUUCAGUUCUCAAGUGAGGACUAUGUUGCAAGUGUCUUGUGUUAUGUAGUUUUAGUAUGUUGGAUUAGAUUUUAGUGGCUACUUGUUGCAGUAGCAUGUUAAACUUUGUUUGUUAAAUUCUAUUACGUUUUU